rnacentral:piRNA from 2 species
UGAUAACAGUCCACAAUCUUGCCGU